CGGCAUCUUUUUCCAUUUUUAUAAUAUUUGCUAAAUCAAUGGAGGUAAUUACUUUUCUUACCAAAAUAUAGUUGUCUCUUUGUUAAUUAAGUAUGGCUCCCUUAGUAUCUUAGUGGUGAUUCUUGCAACAGUUCGCAUUCUUACAUUUUUCAAUCCCAACCGUGGCGAGAAUAUAGCGAGAAUUUAAAAAUAUUCAUGUUGAAACUUCAAACAAACAAUACAUAUAUCAUUCUAUGAAAGUCUCAAACUCCUUCCAAGGUAAGAGUCGUAACGUUCUUGGCAGUUAUUGCCCCACUGCAAUUUGGCACCGUUUUAUUAUAAACAUGGAUUCCUAAAAUUAAUUAGUUUGCAAAAAAUGAACGCAAAUACAAAGACUAAAAGUUUUGUAUUGUUGCCUCGUUCGAUAGUGUAUUUAUAGAUUAAAGGAGUAACUUUGUAGUAGCUUGGACACUAAUAGUAAAAUAUAUUACCUUUUUACAGCCCGAGGAAUGCAAUAUUCCUCAAAAAAGGCACAAGGGCUGAAAAGAAUGUGCAAAAAAUUUGGAGGCAACGUAAAAUAUUUGAAGAGGUUGCUGAGCGCCGACGUAAUCGGCAACAAGCUGCUAGCGAGAAACGUCGGCCUCAGCAGCCUAAACAAUUAACGCUGGUGGAUCGACUCCGGAAAGAAAUUACGGAUUUAAAAAAUGAAAAUGAAAAUAUA